rnacentral:lncRNA from 1 species
CCAGUGUUCUAGUAGGAUGUGUAUCUUAAGAAUAUUAAUCCUCUGUUUAUAUGUUUACCAUAUUUUCCUUUGUUUUCUCUUUUAAAAAAUUUUCGUUUUUACUUAUUUUUCAUGCAGGAUAUUUUAAUGUUUAUGCAGUCUUAUCUGUUAGUUUUUCCCCAUAUAGUUCUUGACUCUGGUGUAUUACACAAAGUCUUUUCCAAACACCAAUACUUUAUAAGUAUUUACAUUUCCAUGUCCUUUUACUUUAUUCCAUCUCCUUUCUUUACAUUUUUAGAUACAGUGGAUCCUCAAGUUACGACUGGCCUGACAUACGAACAACUUGGGUUAAUUAGUUUAAUAGAAGAUUCAUCUGCCUCUUGUUAUCUAUAAUGUGUACCAGCUCAGGGUCAAGAUUAAAAAUUUUUCUGAACACAAUGCCGUUGUCUUUACCCUUCGGUGCAGUCUUAGUUUCCCUGGGUCAUCUUUGAAGGAUAUGUGGGUAAAGUGCUUCCUUCUUGCUUGGAAUGUAGGCCGCUAUUCUCCCAAGAGCUCUCAAUAGUUUGCAAUCCAGAGGAAGCCCUUGAGUUAGAGCUUACAGAUUGCCCAGUUGCCAGAAAUGUGAUGAAUCUUUUUGGUUUUGGCCAACACAUUGCUUUCACGAGUUCCACUGCACGUGGUUAUAAACCCUGUGGAUUUCUGAGCUAAUAUAUGAG